CAGGCAGGUUAUUAGCUGAUUGCAAAGUUUGAAAAGUCACUUGGCAGGAACAAAAAUCACUGUGCUCCCAAGCAGACUGUCUGUUCUAAUCCAGCUAGCAGCUAUUAGCAUAAUUAUACACCAGUGUCUUGGGGUGACAACCAGACCACAUCUAAAACAAGCAGUUAGCAUGCAGACAUAUGGAAUACCUUCCUCAUGUGUCAUAUUUUAAAUCACAUCUCUCUGUUGUUAAGAUCUAUUGCUAAUGACUGCAGUAUUUUCCCUUCUCUGUCUUAUUUCCAGUAUUGCUUGUUUUCAAAUGUCAGAAGUACUAAAUUGUGGCUACUGAUACAAACUGAUACUGGUUUUAUAUCUGGCAACUGAAUGGUGAAAUACUACUGCUGCUUUCUUAAACUCAGUGGCAGGAAACCUAACAAGUUCAGGUCUUGGUUCUGAUCUGGAUGCUGGUUGUUUCUCAGACUACUGGAGAAAAAGAAGUCUCUGGGCUGGACGGUGCUGGAAGGGACUGCUGACACAGACUGAGGGCAGGCAAGAUAACGUGGACAACUGAAAUGUUGCUUGUAGCCCUUCCAAACACAGCCCAGGACUCAGCAGGACUCGGCAGUGUUCCCUGGGCAGGUGUGCUAGUAAAAGACAAAAAUAGAAAGUUCUUGCUCCUGUACUUAGUCUACAAAGUGGGUAUAAAAGAAUGCGACAGGCGCGGCAGCAGAACAACCAGCAGGGCCAGGACAGCUGCCUGUCCAACCACCCACAGGCCACUUGUGUGCAGGGCACCAUCCUGCAUGGGAAGAAACAAGGUCAACCUUCCUUUUGUCGAAUUGUGAUGUAAUUACCAACUCUACUCUGAACUAAAAUGCCAAUAGCCAAGCUAAAUAAAUAUUACAUUUAAUGGGGUACAUUUUUAUGGGGUAAGAAAUCUUAAUAAGAACAAAAAGAAAAUGGUAUUUUUUGAAAAUGCAUGCAUUUUAAACUAGUUAAUGCCUGUAAGUAGUAUCCAUCCCAAUACAAAAUAUUUAGA